AGUGAACGCUGGCGGCAGGCCUAACACAUGCAAGUCGAGCGGCAGCGCGGGGGCAACCCUGGCGGCGAGCGGCGGACGGGUGAGGAAUUCGUCGGAAUCUGCCUUUUUGUGGGGGAUAACGUAGGGAAACUUACGCUAAUACCGCAUACGUCCUACGGGAGAAAGUGGGGGACCGCAAGGCCUCACGCAGAAAGAUGAGCCGACGACCGAUUAGCUAGUUGGUGGGGUAAAGGCCCACCAAGGCGACGAUCGGUAGCUGGUCUGAGAGGAUGAUCAGCCACACUGGGACUGAGACACGGCCCAGACUCCUACGGGAGGCAGCAGUGGGGAAUAUUGGACAAUGGGCGCAAGCCUGAUCCAGCCAUGCCGCGUGUGUGAAGAAGGCCUUCGGGUUGUAAAGCACUUUUGUCCGGAAAGAAAUCCCUGGAGCUAAUACCUCGGGGGAUGACGGUACCGGAAGAAUAAGCACCGGCUAACUUCGUG
rnacentral:rRNA from 1 species